ACUUACUUGACAAACUCCGUUUUUAUUAUAUUUGAGGAUAUUUAAUAUAAGCACCAUUCAUAAAAUUUUAACUUCUUCCUACGUAAAGUUAGGAUAUGAUUCAAACAAUACACACAUAAAAAUUAAUAAAUUGAUUAAUGUAAGAAAUCUAAUUUAGAUAUUUCUUUUUUCUUUUAGCAUAUGAAAUCGUUUAAAUUUGAAUAUUUUUUCUAACUAAUUUUCACCAAUUGUGAUAGCUGAAAAGGAGAGAAGCUUGAUAAGAUUAACUUACAAUGCGACUACUAAAUGUGCAUUUUACAGUAGAAACAGAUCAUGAGCAACUAAAUUCUCACAACACAUCAUUUUCUUGCGUCUGAAGAAAUCUGAUGUUUCUAUUUGAAGAGAGAAAUUUGUUUCAGGCGUCCCUUGACGAAUACUCUUUUUGUAUUUAAAGAUUUUUAUAAAACC
rnacentral:lncRNA from 1 species